GCAGUCUUUAGUUAAUGAUUUUCAACUUUCAGUGCAAAUAUGAGUGCACAAGUAAGAUCAAGAUCUCGAAGAAGGGAGAUGGAAGUCUUCUAAGCUGGAUGAACCUGUGGCUGUGAUGGACAGUCAUAAGAAGAAAAGCUGAAGCCACACAACGUUUUGUUUGUUCUAUUGAUAAUUUGGCUUAAAUUUUCUCAAUAAAGAAUCUAAGUUUGCUCA
rnacentral:lncRNA from 12 species